rnacentral:rRNA from 1 species
UGGGGAAUAUUGCACAAUGGGCGAAAGCCUGAUGCAGCGACGCCGCGUGAGGGAUGACGGCCUUCGGGUUGUAAACCUCUUUCAGCAGGGACGAAGCGCAAGUGACGGUACCUGCAGAAGAAGCACCGGCUAACUACGUGCCAGCAGCCGCGGUAAUACGUAGGGUGCAAGCGUUGUCCGGAAUUACUGGGCGUAAAGAGUUCGUAGGCGGUUUGUCGCGUCGUUUGUGAAAACCAGCAGCUCAACUGCUGGCUUGCAGGCGAUACGGGCAGACUUGAGUACUGCAGGGGAGACUGGAAUUCCUGGUGUAGCGGUGAAAUGCGCAGAUAUCAGGAGGAACACCGGUGGCGAAGGCGGGUCUCUAGGCAGUAACUGACGCUGAGGAACGAAAGCGUGGGUAGCGAACAGG